CCUUCGAUAGCUCAGUUGGUAGAGCGGAGGACUGUAGAUCCUUAGGUCGCUGGUUCGAUUCUGCUGGAAGGA
rnacentral:tRNA from 1 species